UUCUUUAGCCGCGUUGUCACUCGUUUUCCUGAAAUGUUAGAAAUCACACGUCAAGGAUUAUGUUACCGUAACGGAAACACCUUGUCCCGCUACUGGGUUCCAAGUCGUUACGACGACCCACGGAGUCGUAGUUGGCCUGUAGAAAAUCGCGCUGCAGAGGGAGUUAAGUUCCGUUGGUAAUCCCGCCAGUGUACGUAUGUAACAGACAGGGUCGUGAAAUACGGAAGGGUCAGUUGGCGCACCCGUAAUAUAUUUGUAUCCUUCGGACUGUUUAGCUAUUUCUGGGACCAUUUUUUGAAUUUUUGGUGUUGUUAGUGUAUAAAGUGUUGUGUUAUGCUAGAAAGUAUUAAAGUAUUGAAAAUCUUAUUGUAUACGACACAAAACUGGCAUGACCACUAAAAUAACAUUUUUAUUAGGUUCUGUUUAGUUGUAAAAAUAUUAUCUUCAGUACAUUUGAAGCCAGUAGUACGGUUAUAAUCGUUUUAGCUGAAAUUGCAUGUAAAUGCCUGACAAAACGGCGUGUUUAUUUUUGUGCAGUCUAACCUUUAUAUUAUGACUAGUUUCGUCGGUAUUAUCACCCUCAUUUUAUUUGGUCCAUUGUUCUCGCGAAUUUAUUUUGCGAUGGUGGCGCUAGUGACAGCAAACAAACAUGGCAAUACGGAAGUAUUGUAUAAUGUUUACGUUGAAACUGAACUGAAACUUUGGUCGGUCAUUCUACCUGUACAAGCGUAAACAUUAUUCGUAGCUCUGUUAACAUUUUUUGUAGUAUGUGCGGAAAAUGACGUACGAACAAUAUCUUUCGAUGAAAUUUUGUAGAAGAGUGUUCCGACAUUUCGGCUAUCGACGGGAGCACCUUCAUUGAGUGCCGGGUUUCGAUUAUUGCGGGGCCGUCGUCUGGGGGACACACGCAGGGAGAACUUUGGGACGUUCGUUUGUCCCGUUUCGGCGGCCGCGACGACGAUUUGUACUUGCCUAGAACGACGAUCGUUUUUGACAGCCCGCGAUGAUCCGGUUGAUAAAAUUUUGUUUGUUGCAGUGUCCAUAUUCUAAGUUUGCAGCGUGAAAUGCCCAAAGGAUUUUUAACGGAAUACUGAGCGAACGAGGAAGCUGUCACAACGCCAAAUAAAAAUACCUUUAAAGAAUAACACUUUUUGUUUUAUAUUGUCGAUGAUAAUAAUAGUAACAGAAUACCUCCCGAACUCCAUGAGACCGAGGGCAGCGCAUAGUACAAAAUUUAAAAGCCCGAAAAUCCAGACCUGACGGCACGUGGGCGGAAACAUUCAAAAAAACACUAGGCUUUAUUGUAAACCCUCUAACUCAUAUUCUAAAUUAUUGUAUUAAUAAAGGGAUAUUGCAAAAAAAAAAUACAAAAGGCGACAAUUGUAUAAAUUAUUAAAAAAAUAAAAUAAAUAUUAAAAAAUAGACACUGACACUGUCAGAAAAAAUCUAUAAAUCAUUAGAUACAAAUCCUAAAUCACUCUGUAUUUAUUUAGAUAUUAUUAAGAAAGCAUUCGAUAAGUGAAUAUGAAGUUCCACAGGGAACUGUAUUGGGUCUUUGUUUUGUACAUUAAUGGUAUGUUUCGUGUAAACUUAAAGGGGAAUAUUUCGAGUUUUGCAGAUGAAUCCUCGAUUUUCUAUACUCAGGCAUCAUGGGCUGUGGUUCAUAAACAAAAGUGUACAAUUACCUUCCCUAUAAAGAGCUAACUUUAAACUUCCUGCCAAAUUUCACAAAACUUCGAAUCGAGACUACACUGAAUGAGUUUAUCGAUUAGUUUCCCCCAAUUAUAUUAAAUACCUCGAUAUCUACAUGGACAUGCACCUGACUUGGGAAUAUAACACUGAUAAACUUAUUAAAAAAUUGAGAUCCCUUCUCCCAAUAUUCAAAAAUGCCAGCGAAUUUCGUGAUAUAAAACACCUAAAAAUGCUGUAGUGCAUUAGUUGAACCACAUCCCACAUAUGGUCUCUUGGGGUGGGCUGAUUUGACUAAUAACUACUGCCGGAAAAUUUAAAUUACCCAAAAGUGGAUUCUUAAAGUGAUCCUACAGAAGAACUCUAUCAAAUGGCAAAGAUCUUAGAUGGUAGUCAAUUAUUUUUUGUCCAAAUUACGAAUUAUUAUUACAAACGCAACGACAGCUUACCUCUAUUCGAGCACGAUAGUUCGACACGAUCUCAAUGGCAAAAACUGCGAGUAACAAGGCGAGAAAAGAUGCCUUUCUUACCUAUUAACAAAAAUUAUUGCCAUGGUACCUGAUGCGAUUCAAAAUUAUAGACUCCUACAAUGAAUUUAAAACGAAAAUAAAAGAAUGGGUUAUCCCAGCAGCCGAGACUUUAUAUCCACCAACAAAUAGAUUUCAAAAAUUCUAUUAUUACAACUCAUUAAGUUUUUAGUUAAGAUCCAUAUAGUUUGUGUUGAUUUUUGCAAAAAUUUUAUGUAUUUAUUUUUUGAUUUAAGUAUGUUGUUCAGGUCACAAAGAAAUAUUCAUCUGCUAAUAUUUGGUGAGCUUUUUCCUUGCUUGUUUAUGUGUCUCCACUUAUUUCAUGCUUUUUUUUUUUUUUCAUUUCUGCAA